ACGGAAGGCAGCAGUGGGGAAUAUUGCACAAUGGGGGAAACCCUGAUGCAGCGACGCCGCGUGAGUGAAGAAGUAUUUCGGUAUGUAAAGCUCUAUCAGCAAGGAAGAAAAUGACGGUACUUGACUAAGAAGCCCCGGCUAACUACGUGCCAGCAGCCGCGGUAAUACGUAGGGGGCAAGCGUUAUCCGGAUUUACUGGGUGUAAAGGGAGCGUAGACGGUAAUGCAAGUCAGAAGUGAAAGCCCAAGGCUCAACCAUGGGACUGCUUUUGAAACUGUAAUACUAGAGUGCAGGAGAGGUAAGUGGAAUUCCUAGUGUAGCGGUGAAAUGCGUAGAUAUUAGGAGGAACACCAGUGGCGAAGGCGGCUUACUGGACUGUAACUGACGUUGAGGCUCGAAAGCGUGGGGAGCAAGCAGGAUUAGAUACCCUGGUA
rnacentral:rRNA from 1 species